rnacentral:SRP_RNA from 1 species
GCCGGGCGCGGUGGCGCGUGCCUGUAGUCCCAGCUACUCGGGAGGCUGAGGUGGGAGGAUCGCUUGAGCCCAGGAGUUCUGGGCUGUAGUGCCCUAUGCCGAUCGGAUGUCCGCACUAAGUUCGGCAUCAAUAUGGUGACCUUCCGGGAGCAGGGGACCACCAGGUUGCCUAAGGAGGGGUGAACCGGCCCAGGUCGGAAACGGAGCAGGUCAAAACUCCCGUGCUGAUCAGUAGUGGGAUCGCACCUGUGAAUAGCCACUGCACUCCAGCCUGGGCAACAUAGCGAGACCCCGUCUCUA